rnacentral:rRNA from 1 species
CGCACGGGUGAGUAACGCGUAUGCGACCUGCCCGUUGCAGGGGGGAUAAUCGGGAGAAAUCCCGUCUAAUACCGCGUAACGCCGCGGGGCUGCAUGGCCCUGCGGCCAAAGGGAGCGAUUCCGGCAACGGAUGGGCAUGCGUGACAUUAGCUAGUUGGCGGGGCAACGGCCCACCAAGGCGACGAUGUCUAGGGGUUCUGAGAGGAAGGUCCCCCACACUGGUACUGAGACACGGACCAGACUCCUACGGGAGGCAGCAG